AUUGAACGCUGGCGGCAGGCCUAACACAUGCAAGUCGGACGAGUGGCGGACGGGUGAGUAAUGUAUGGGAAACUGCCCGAUGGAGGGGGAUAACUACUGGAAACGGUAGCUAAUACCGCAUACCAUCGGAUGUACCCAGAUGGGAUUAGCUAGUAGGUGGGGUAACGGCUCACCUAGGCGACGAUCCCUAGCUGGUCUGAGAGGAUGACCAGCCACACUGGGACUGAGACACGGCCCAGACUCCUACGGGAGGCAGCAGUGGGGAAUAUUGCACAAUGGGCGCAAGCCUGAUGCAGCCAUGCCGCGUGUGUGAAGAAGGCCUUCGGGUUGUAAAGUACUUUCAGUAGGGAGGCGGUACCGGCAGAAGAAGCACCGGCUAACUCCGUGCCAGCAGCCGCGGUAAUUC
rnacentral:rRNA from 1 species